rnacentral:lncRNA from 1 species
AUGGAGCUUCGUGCCACCUGUUCUGAACCCGUGAUCCAUUUCUUUACUGAUCCAAGCAAGCUUUCAAGUCCUCAUGGGGACACGACCUCUCCUUGUGGCCUCUUCGGCCGACGGUUUCCAGUCCUGCUGAGCUGCACUGAGCUGGGCCCAGGAAUGUGGACCUUUGGCAAACUCUCCGCAGGUGAUAAGUGUGUCAUUCCUUCUCGUUUAAUAGGUGGGGGGACGAGGGAGCCUGCCACCGCCCAAAGGAGUUACGGGGAGGCGAGCAGCAGCCCUGCCGCCGACCUGGGGCCCAUCCCCGACCUGCUGGUUCUGUGGCCCACGAGCUGCUCACUCAGCCCAUCUUGCAUCCUGACUUUUUUUUUUUUAAUUUUAUGUAUUUAUUCAUGGGAGACACAGAGAGGCAGAGACCCAGGCAGAGGGAGAAGCAGGCUCCCUGCGGGGAGCCCGAUGCAGGACUCGAACCCAGGACCCCGGGGUCAUGACCUGAGCUGCUUAGACCCCCCCACAUCGCCCCUCCCCCCGAGCCACACCUGCCGGCCCGCCCGCGAGCGCCUCCGGCCCGAGUCCCCGCUCCGGGAGGUCGGGCGCCGCGGUGCAGGCCGCGCGGUCCCCGCGGGGGAAGAGCCUGGGCCUCCGCGGCGGCCGCGCCUUGUGUUCCGGGAGCCCCGGGAGCGGCGGGGGAGGUGGGGGUGGGCGGCCCUCUCGCCCGGAGCGCCCCACGCCGCCGCCGCCACGCAGCACCCGCCGCUUCCUCUGACGUCACGCGCCGCCGCUUCCGGCGCACGGACGCCGCGGUCCGGGCGGCUCCGCGUUCCCAGCGCCGCGAGGGCCGGGGGCCGAAGAGGCCUAGGGGGGCCCGGGGGGCACAGGGAGGAGUGGGGGGAGGCCGCGUUUGCUGGGCCGGGCCCCGCAGGGCGGGCCGCAGGCAGCUCGGCCCCCGCCUCCCGGGUCCGCGCCGCGGCGGCGGGGCUGCUGGGACACCGGUCGUGGUGCCCUAAGCGCAGGACCCGAAGGUUAGGGACGCUCGGGGGCUCCGCGGGGUAG